GCCGGGGUGGCAGAGUCUGGUUAACGCGCGGGCCUCGAGAGCCCGUGACCCCUUGGGUCAUGUGGGUUCAAAUCCCACCCCCGGCG
rnacentral:tRNA from 1 species